UGGGCCCUACGGGGGGCAGCAGUGGGGAAUAUUGGGCAAUGGGCGCAAGCCUGACCCAGCAACGCCGCGUGAAGGAAGAAGGCUUUCGGGUUGUAAACUUCUUUUCUGGGGGACGAACAAAUGACGGUACCCCAGGAAUAAGCCACGGCUAACUACGUGCCAGCAGCCGCGGUAAUACGUAGGCGGCAAGCGUUAUCCGGAUUUAUUGGGUGUAAAGGGCGUGUAGGCGGGAAUGCAAGUCAGAUGUGAAAACUAUGGGCUCAACCCAUAGCGUGCAUUUGAAACUGUAUUUCUUUAG
rnacentral:rRNA from 1 species